GGUGUGUGCAAGAGUAGGGCGUCGCGCUCGGUAAUCUCGCCGCCCAAGUGAUAGGGCAGGCCGCAAUUGGCAAACGAUACAUAGGGGCCACGCUCGAACACGACGAUGUCGGCGUGAUCAUUCAGACGCCGCGCCCGCGCCGCCGCCGAGGCACCACCUGCCACCCCAC
rnacentral:antisense_RNA from 1 species